rnacentral:rRNA from 1 species
GGGGAAUUUUCCGCAAUGGGCGAAAGCCUGACGGAGCAAUACCGCGUGAGGGAUGACUGCCUAUGGGUUGUAAACCUCUUUUUUCAGGGAGGAACAAAAUGACGUGUACCCUGAAGAAUAAGCAUCGGCUAACUCCGUGCCAGCAGCCGCGGUAAGANCGGAGGAUGCAAGUGUUAUCCGGAAUCACUGGGCGUAAAGCGUCUGUAGGUGGUCAAAUAAGUCAACUGUUAAAUCUUGAGGCUCAACCUCAAAAUCGCAGUCGAAACUAUUAGACUAGAGUAUAGUAGGGGUAAAGGGAAUUUCCAGUGGAGCGGUGAAAUGCGUAGAGAUUGGAAAGAACACCGAUGGCGAAGGCACUUUACUGGGCUAUUACUAACACUACAGAGACGAAAGCUAGGGUAGCAAAUGGGAUUAGAGACCCCAGUAGUC